rnacentral:lncRNA from 1 species
UAAUAAUAAAAAUAAGGGUGAGUCUUCUUUCCCAGAAAGAUCAAUAGUACACAAUAGUUCAAUUUCACCCAUUACCCAUAUCCCUUCCCCCUCCCCUCUUUUUUUUUUGUUUGUUUUUUUUCUUUCUUUCUAUCAAAUUGCAAAACUAAGGCACAAAUAAAAGGUUUGAUUAUUGAACAGCUUCAUCACAAUCUUUUCAAACUUUUCUUUCUAGCAUCUAGCUUCUUCUUGUCUGCCUGAGCUUUAGCAGUUCCAAUGUCCCUCUUUUGUGGUGCAUGAGCAGCAGAAACUACCGCGGCAGCAGAAGAAACAUUAGCAGACGACUCGGUCAGAACGCCCACUACUGCCUGAUCCUGACCAGUUCCUCUUGCUCCAGUGGUUAA